rnacentral:ncRNA from 2 species
UAGAAAGACUAGGGGUGCCUAAUGAAGUUAGGCUGAGAAUAAGAACGUAUUUCUUUUACCCUAAUAACCUGAUCUGGGUGAUGCCAGCGGAGGGAAGUCGGUUUGCAGUGAU